rnacentral:rRNA from 1 species
UACAGAGGGUGCAAGCGCUAAUCGGAAUUAUUGGGCGUAAAGGGCUUGUAGGUUGUUGUUUAAGUUAGAUGUGAAACCCCUGGGCUUAACCUGGGACGUGCAUUUAAUACUGGAUGACUAGAGUAUGGUAGAGGAGUAGGGAAUUCCUGGUGUAGCAGUGAAAUGCGUAGAGAUCAGGAGGAACAUCAGUGGCGAAGGCGCUACUCUGGACUAAUACUGAUACUGAGGAGCGAAGGCGUGGGGAUCAAACAGG